rnacentral:rRNA from 1 species
UACGUAGGGUGCUAGCGUUAAUCGGAAUUACUGGGCGUAAAGCGUGCGUAGGCGGUUCGGUAAGUGCGUCGUGAAAGCCCCGGGCUCAACCUGGGAAUGGCGAUGGAAACUGGCGGGCUGGAGUAUGGCAGAGGGGGGUGGAAUUCCGCGUGUAGCAGUGAAAUGCGUAGAGAUGCGGAGGAACACCGAUGGCGAAGGCAGCCCCCUGGGCCAAUACUGACGCUGAGGAGCGAAAGCGUGGGGAGCGAACAGG